AUUGAACGCUGGCGGCGUGCCUAAUACAUGCAAGUCGAGCGCAGGAAGCCGUCUGAACCCUUCGGGGGGACGACGGUGGAAUGAGCGGCGGACGGGUGAGUAACACGUAAAGAACCUGCCCAUAGGUCUGGGAUAACCACGAGAAAUCGGGGCUAAUACCGGAUGUGUCAUCGGACCGCAUGGUCCGCUGAUGAAAGGCGCUCCGGCGUCGCCCAUGGAUGGCUUUGCGGUGCAUUAGCUAGUUGGUGGGGUAACGGCCCACCAAGGCGACGAUGCAUAGCCGACCUGAGAGGGUGAUCGGCCACACUGGGACUGAGACACGGCCCAGACUCCUACGGGAGGCAGCAGUAGGGAAUCUUCCACAAUGGACGAAAGUCUGAUGGAGCAACGCCGCGUGAACGAUGAGGGCUUUCGGGUCGUAAAGUUCUGUUGUAAGGGAAGAACAAGUGCCGCAGGCAAUGGCGGCACCUUGACGGUACCUUGCGAGAAAGCCACGGCUAACUACGUGCCAGCCGCCGCGGUAAAAC
rnacentral:rRNA from 1 species